rnacentral:lncRNA from 1 species
AACAGGCACGGUAGAGGUAACCACCUCUGACGUAACAGUCCUCGCGGGAGGAGUUGCAGGUGUUGGAGAAGCUUGACUCUGAGCCGCAAGAACUGACUCCAUCAUGGCAGUCAGACGGGCGAUCUCGUCCUUCAGCUCUUUGUUCUCUUGCUCCAAAUGUUCCAUAAUUUUCUGAUGAUUGGCUCUGGUAUUGUACCGGUGAGUCAGC